rnacentral:sRNA from 1 species
GCUGGGUAUGGUGGUGUAUGCCUGUAAUCCCAGAGCUCAGGAGGCUGAGGCAGGAGGAUCAUGAGUGCAGAGCCAGCCUCUGCAAUUGCGUGAGGCCCUGAGCAACUCAAGUGAGACCCUGUCUCUA